rnacentral:lncRNA from 1 species
AAAAUCGGAGGCCGGCCCAGAGUGACUCCGAGUGCACUCCGAUCCGGCCUACCGGAGGAUCGGUUACCCGAUCCCUUCGCCUGGCGGGUUCCAAACGGAACCCGUGAAGAGGGAAAAACCACUCUUCGGCCAUCUCGACCUCCAGGACACUCAUGGUGGACACUACUUCGCUAGGCAAAGAACCCAUUACAAGAGAGGGAAAUCAAAAAGAAGGGGGACCUGGGAAGGAAGCCGGAGAGAAGGGACUUCGGUUUGAGGAAGACUGGGAGAAUAGGAAGCUGGAAGCAGAAAGCAAUGGAAAGAGAACAGGGGGCCGGGGGAGAGUUUAU